GGAUUAGAUACCCUGGUAGUCCACGCCGUAAACGAUGUCUACUAGCCGUUGGGAGGCUUGUUCUCUUAGUGGUGCAGCUAACGCGAUAAGUAGACCGCCUGGGGAGUACGGCCGCAAGGUUAAAACUCAAAUGAAUUGACGGGGGCCCGCACAAGCGGUGGAGCAUGUGGUUUAAUUCGAUGCAACGCGAAGAACCUUACCAAGUCUUGACAUCCAGAGAAUUUGCUAGAGAUAGCUUAGUGCCUUCGGGAGCUCUGUGACAGGUGCUGCAUGGCUGUCGUCAGCUCGUGCCG
rnacentral:rRNA from 1 species